CUCUGUGCUGAUAAAACCAGCCCAGUCCCGACACUGUAGCUGGGAGAGAAGCCCCAACCCCGGGAGUCCCAGGUGCUCCCAUUCUGUGAUCAGCACAGAACACAGACACCACACCAUGGAGUUUGUGCUUGGCUGGGUUUUCCUUGUUGCUCUUUUAAAAGGUGUCCAGUGUGAUGUGCAGCUGGUGGAAUCUGGGGGAGACCUGGUGAAGUCUGGGGGGUCCCUGAGACUCACCUGUGUGGCCUCUGGAUUCACCUUCAGUAGCUAUAGCAUGAACUGGGUCCGCCAGGCUCCAGGGAAGGGGCUGCAGUGGGUCGCAUAUAUUAGUAGUAGUGGAGGUAGCAUAUACUACGCAGACUCCGUGAAGGGCCGAUUCACCAUCUCCAGAGACAAUGCCAAGAACACGCUGUAUCUGCAGAUGAACAGCCUGAAGACCGAGGACACGGCCACAUAUUACUGUGCGAGUGACACAGUGAGGGGACUUCACUGGGAGCCCAGACACAAACCUUCCUGCAGGAGGGGAACAGCACCACCAGGGGGUGAACACUAUGCACAAUUUUGCUUUGUGUUCCCAGGAGCAGGUGCAGUUGGAGGAUACAGGCAGGUUUCCUGUCAGGGUCUUGGGGCUUCCUCUCCACACAGCCGUUUCCCCAGGGAUCCACCCUGGACACAGGAUUCUGUGAUUACCUAUUAACCCUGAAUUAGCAAC